rnacentral:rRNA from 1 species
UACGGGGGGGGGCAAGCGUUGUUCGGAAUUACUGGGCGUAAAGGCUCGUAGGCGGCCAACUAAGUCAUACGUGAAAUCCCCGGGCUCAACCCGGGAACUGCGUCCGAUACUGGAAGGCUUGAAUUCGGGAGAGGGAUGCGGAAUUCCAGGUGUAGCGGUGAAAUGCGUAGAUAUCUGGAGGAACACCGGUGGCGAAGGCGGCAUCCUGGACCGGCAUUGACGCUGAGGCGCGAAAGCCAGGGGAGCAAACGGG